rnacentral:rRNA from 1 species
AUGGAGGGAAGUGCCUGGGUAUGUUACAAAACAUGGUUGAGAUCCAUCUUUCUCAUUGUGAAAGAUUGCAAUUUUUUGUUCAGAUGUGGUACAUCCUUCACUUUUACUAAACUGAAGGUGCUUACACUAGAGCAUCUGUUGGAUUUUGAGAGAUGGUGGGAAAUAAAUGAGAGGCAAGAAGAACAGAUAAUAUUUCCUCUGCUUGAGAAGUUGUUUAUUCGGCAUUGUGGAAAGUUGGUAGCAUUACCUGAAGCACCAUUGCUUGAAGAACCAUGUCGUGGAGGUAAUAGAUUGGUAUGUACACCAUUUUCUCUGCUUGAAAACUUGUUUAUUUGGUAUUGUGGAAACCUGGUAGCACUGCGUGAAUCACAGUUUGUUCAAGAACCAUCUAGUGGAAGUUAUAGAUCAGUACACUCUGCUUUUCCUGCUCUAAAGGUACUUCAUUUGAAAGACAUGGAGAGUUUUCAGAGAUGGGGUGUUGCUGUCGAAGGGGAAUCAAUAUUGUUUCCUCAGCUCGAGAAACUAUCAGUUCAGAAAUGUAAAAAGCUAGUAGAUUUACGUGAAGCACCAAAAGUCAGUGUAUUAGAAAUUAAUGAUGGCAAGCAAGAGAUAUUCCAUUGGGUAGACAGAUAUUUGUCUUCAUUGACCAAUCUGUUAUUGAAGUUAGAAUACACAGAAGUAACAUCAUAG